rnacentral:rRNA from 1 species
GGUUAAGCGACUAAGCGUACACGGUGGAUGCCCUGGCAGUCAGAGGCGAUGAAGGACGUGCUAAUCUGCGAAAAGCGACGGCGAGGUGAUAUGAACCUUUGACCCGUCGAUGUCCGAAUGGGGAAACCCAGUGUGUUCCGACACACUAUCGUUAACUGAAUACAUAGGUUAACGAGGCGAACCGGGGGAACUGAAACAUCUAAGUACCCCGAGGAAAAGAAAUCAACCGAGAUUCCCCCAGUAGCGGCGAGCGAACGGGGAGCAGCCCGGAGUCUGAAUCAGCUUGUGUGUUAGUGGAACGGUCUGGAAAGUCCGACGGUACAGGGUGAUAGUCCCGUACACGAAAAUGCACAGGCUGUGAACUCGAAGAGUAGGGCGGGACACGUGGUAUCCUGUCUGAAUAUGGGGGGACCAUCCUCCAAGGCUAAAUACUCCUGACUGACCGAUAGUGAACCAGUACCGUGAGGGAAAGGCGAAAAGAACCCCGGCGAGGGGAGUGAAAAAGAACCUGAAACCGUGUACGUACAAGCAGUGGGAGCCUCUUUAUGGGGUGACUGCGUACCUUUUGUAUAAUGGGUCAGCGACUUAUAUUCUGUAGCAAGGUUAACCGUAUAGGGGAGCCGAAGGGAAACCGAGUCUUAACUGGGCGUUAAGUUGCAGGGUAUAGACCCGAAACCCGGUGAUCUAGCCAUGGGCAGGUUGAAGGUUGGGUAACACUAACUGGAGGACCGAACCGACUAAUGUUGAAAAAUUAGCGGAUGACCUGUGGCUGGGGGUGAAAGGCCAAUCAAACCGGGAGAUAGCUGGUUCUCCCCGAAAGCUAUUUAGGUAGCGCCUCGUGAACUCAUCUUCGGGGGUAGAGCACUGUUUCGGCUAGGGGGCCAUCCCGGCUUACCAACCCGAUGCAAACUACGAAUACCGAAGAAUGUUAUCACGGGAGACACACGGCGGGUGCUAACGUCCGUCGUGAAGAGGGAAACAACCCAGACCGCCAGCUAAGGUCCCAAAGUCAUGGUUAAGUGGGAAACGAUGUGGGAAGGCACAGACAGCCAGGAUGUUGGCUUAGAAGCAGCCAUCAUUUAAAGAAAGCGUAAUAGCUCACUGGUCGAGUCGGCCUGCGCGGAAGAUGUAACGGGGCUAAACCAUGCACCGAAGCUGCGGCAGCGACGCUUAUGCGUUGUUGGGUAGGGGAGCGUUCUGUAAGCCGUUGAAGGUGUGCUGUGAGGCAUGCUGGAGGUAUCAGAAGUGCGAAUGCUGACAUAAGUAACGAUAAAGCGGGUGAAAAGCCCGCUCGCCGGAAGACCAAGGGUUCCUGUCCAACGUUAAUCGGGGCAGGGUGAGUCGACCCCUAAGGCGAGGCCGAAAGGCGUAGUCGAUGGGAAACAGGUUAAUAUUCCUGUACUUGGUGUUACUGCGAAGGGGGGACGGAGAAGGCUAUGUCAGCCGGGCGACGGUUGUCCCGGUUUAAGCAUGUAGGCGGAGGU